AUGAGGAUCAUCAGCUGGAACUGCCGGGGACUCGGGAACGGCCCGACAGUUCGGUCUCUUCUCGAAAUGGGAAGAGCGGAGGAUCCCGACAUUUUAUUUCUUUGUGAGACCAAGCUGACAGAGAAGGAAUUGGGCAGAUUUAGGUGGCUGCUUGGGUUAACUAAUAUGAUUGCAUGGAAGUCUGAAGGUAGGAGUAGGGGGGUGGCGUUAUUCUGGAAGCGUGGAGUGGAUGUGACACUGAGAUCAUAUGGGAGAAGGCAUGUGGACGUGGAUGUAACAUAG
rnacentral:rRNA from 1 species